CCCUGGCUGGCUCAUUUGAUAGAGCAUGUGAUUCUUGAUCUCAGGGCUGUAGGUUUGAGCCCCAUGUUGGGUA
rnacentral:tRNA from 1 species